rnacentral:rRNA from 1 species
UACGGAGGGUGCAAGCGUUGUUCGGAUUUACUGGGCGUAAAGCGCGCGCAGGUGGAUGAACAAGUCGGAAGUGAAAUCUUGAGGCUCAACCUCGAGGCUGCUCCCGAAACUGUUCGUCUAGGGACUGGUAGAGGCUGGUAGAAUUCCCGGUGUAGCGGUGGAAUGCGUAGAGAUCGGGAAGAACAUCGGUGGCGAAAGCGCUCUACUGGACGGUAUCUGACACUGAGGGACGAAAGCUAGGGGAGCGAAUGGG